GUGAAAUUGAAAUCGCAGUGAAGAUGCUGUGUACCCGCGGCUAGACGGAAAGACCCCGUGAACCUUUACUACAGCUUGGCACUGAACAUUGAACCUACAUGUGUAGGAUAGGUGGGAGACUUUGAAGCAGAGACGCUAGUUUUUGUGGAGUCGUCCUUGAAAUACCACCCUUGUAGUUUUGAUGUUCUAACGUUGGCCCCUGAAUCGGGGUUACGGACAGUGCCUGGUGGGUAGUUUGACUGGGGCGGUCUCCUCCCAAAGAGUAACGGAGGAGCACGAAGGUUGGCUAAGUACGGUC
rnacentral:rRNA from 13 species